GAUGAACGCUGGCGGCGUGCCUAAUACAUGCAAGUCGAGCGAAUGGAUUAAGAGCUUGCUCUUAUGAAGUUAGCGGCGGACGGGUGAGUAACACGUGGGUAACCUGCCCAUAAGACUGGGAUAACUCCGGGAAACCGGGGCUAAUACCGGAUAAYAUUUUGAACUGCAUGGUUCGAAAUUGAAAGGCGGCUUCGGCUGUCACUUAUGGAUGGACCCGCGUCGCAUUAGCUAGUUGGUGAGGUAACGGCUCACCAAGGCAACGAUGCGUAGCCGACCUGAGAGGGUGAUCGGCCACACUGGGACUGAGACACGGCCCAGACUCCUACGGGAGGCAGCAGUAGGGAAUCUUCCGCAAUGGACGAAAGUCUGACGGAGCAACGCCGCGUGAGUGAUGAAGGCUUUCGGGUCGUAAAACUCUGUUGUUAGGGAAGAACAAGUGCUAGUUGAAUAAGCUGGCACCUGACG
rnacentral:rRNA from 1 species